UGCUUGUGCUCUCUCUCUCUCUCUCUCUCAAAAAUAAAUAAAUCUUUAAAAAUUAAUAAAUAUAAAGAAAAUAAAAGGUCAGUAUUAAUGGGGAAAUAUAAAAGUUUAUUUUGUGUGUGUGAUAAAAAAUUAUAAUCGAGAAAAGAGAUAAUGUGCAGGAUGCUAUGGUGGGAAAAAAUAAUUUAUUAAAUAGGAAAAGUAGACCUGCAAGCAAAGCAGUCAAAAACAAAAUGUCAUAUAAUUUGAAUUGAAAAAGGCAAAAAAUAUGAAAGGUAAUCUGAAAAAGAAAUAUAAAGUGCCAAUUCUGAAGAAAUGUCAACUUCACAUAUAAAUAAAAACAUGCAAAUUACCCUAAAAAUUACCUUUUUUCUUCUCAGAUUAGUAAAUAUUUUAAAAAUUGACUCUAGUGUUGGAGAAUGGGUAAACUUUUCUAGAAGACAAUUGAGAAAUAUGUAUGAAAUUAAAACAUGCGCAUCAUAUAAUCUAAAAAAAUACAUAUCUGAGAAAUUGGCCUAAAGAAAUAGACAUUCAUUUAUAUUGGCCAUGUAUGCAGAAAAAAUUCUACAGAAAGGGAAACAAAUUCUAUAUAAGGUUACUGUAUAUUUCGUAAAUACUAUGUGUCCCUUCAAAACAAAUGAUACCUUUUUGAAAAAUAGUUUGAGCAUUCCCCAUCAUGGUAGUAACCUGUGAUAGUGGCAAUAAUAUGCAACUGGCUAUUAAAAUGAUGCAAGCUAUGUGUAUGAUGUUGAAGGUUUAAAUUUUUUUCUAAUAUGAUUAAUGUGUCCCACAAAGUAAGCUAAAUUGAUUCUUAUGAAUGGAGUUGUAAAAGCAACACCACCUGUGCUCCUUUGUAGGCGUGAAUUGGAGUUGUUUCCUCCACAACACACAGUUGGUGGUAUUAGGGAAAGAACAACUUUCCCUUCUAUUACAUAUUUAGGAGAAAAUGUUUUCCCAUCAAAGUGCAUCUUCUCUCUUGGUCGCAAAUCUUUCUUGAUGUCCAUAUGUCUGUGUUUCACACAAUCACUUGCUUGCAACAUACUGAACCUUCCCUUUGCCCAACUUUAAACUUCACAAAAUGGAAUAUAGACGUUUGGCUAUCAGCUGGAUGAACAGAGAUUUGUGUUUACAUGCUGUGAUGCUGCCUCGCAGUCAACAGCUCUGUUGUGAAAGCCUUAAUGAUGUUCCUGUUACAAAGGCAGGUGUUGAUUAUUUGAAAAAUUUAUCCUAUUGUGCCUUUAUUAUUGUUAAGUACUGCAGUUUGAAAGAAUUGCUGUUGGUUACACAUUACAUAGUUGAAUCAAAGGUGAUUGUUGCUACAUCUGCAGAAAACAACUCAUUUUGACCCUUAAUCCUAAACAUACUGGAUUUAAAUAGGUCAAUGUGGGUCAAUUAUAAAGCAAAAUGAAGAAAACUAAAGGAAAACUGGGAGUUUAUAAUUUUCUCUCAAUAAUUUGGUGCUAGAAUUACUGUAACAUUUAUUUGACUUUUGAGUAUUUUAUAAUCUUGAUUUAAUUUUGAUAUUUUUUAGUCUAAACCAAAACUAGCUACCAUAAUGAUUCUGUUGCAACCUUCCUGCCAUUGUUGUAGCCACCCCUAUUGGCUCUGUCAGAAAACCAUAAAUAAGGCUAAGUCAACAAAAGAAGAGAUUGGACUGACAAUUUAUAAAAAAGUCCUACCAACCUAUUCAGAUAGCUGAAGUCCCAUGCAAAUACCUCAAAAUUUAUUCAGUGUCUUUUUCUUCUCUGUUUUUCAGAUACUAUCUCUUUCCUUUGCUCUCUCUUCUUCGUUUUCUUCCUCCCUUCCUCUGUUAGCCUAUUCCUCCCCACAUGUUAAUUUUUAAAGUAAUUUUCUUUUGAAUACUUUUUCUCUGAAAUUUAAAACACAUACACACAAACACUUUAAAUGUGAAUCCCAUGGUUGAUUUUUUUUUCUGCAUCACUGACCCAGAAAUAACACAAAGUCAUGUUUGUGUUUCAGUGUAAUACCAAUGAGAGAUGAUAACAAACAAGGACAAAGCAGACAAAUCCACCUGGCUCACAUUCUAAGUGAACACAAGUGACAGUGAACACUUUCCAAAUUGCCAGGACUAAUUGAAUAAAUGGUUACUUGUAAGAAUGACGUACAAGCAGUCUUGGCUUGACUGUUGCAUUGUUUAGAAUUCCACCUGCCAAAGAAAGUGGGAAAAUGCACAAUAGAAGAAAAUCUCUUUUUCAUUUCUUUAUUAGUGUCACAUACACUGAUGCCAAUAAAGCUGUCAGGCAGAUGUUUCGGCUUAAAUACCCCUGGCAGUAACUUUAUUGAAAAUCAACACAAAUCAUGGUCAACUAUCAGUUUUUACUCCCCAAAGAAACAAUUAAGUCAAAGUGACAGCUCCGAAGGCCUCAUGAGGCGAAAACCAAAGCUCAAGGUCUGUGAGUGGAAGGUGUUUUGUGUCACAGUUGUCAGUCUACAAUCGGGUCAAUGGUCCUUUCUUUAUUUGAUUUUACUGUACAUCAGACCCACUCAUUUCUACAAAGAAAAAAAAAGGCUAAUAGAGCUAUCAGGUGAGCACUGUGCAUAAAAUCAAUCCUAUUAGCCUGAAGGAAAAGCAAAACUCUCGUGUCUGAGUGACAUUAAUUUGUGUCUAUGUCUUUGAUUUUACAAGCUCUGGUAUUAUAACAAUAAUCAUAUUUAUUCUAAAACUACCUCCUUAUGAAUUACUUCAUAAAUAUUUGUUUCAAAUACUUAGAAGAGUGAUUAAUGUUUAUUACAUAAUGUUUAUUUAUUACUUUAAUAAUAUAACAUGUAGUCAUUUUCAAAUUUACACUCGUCAUUCACCUUGAUUCCUCCCUCAAGCCAAAAAUUGGGGAGGAAAAACAUGCUUAUAUAUGUAUGCAACAGUCUCAAAAUCUGAGUCUCAAAGUCUUAAUAACUUGAUAAUGAGGAUGAACUCUGUAUGAAUGUGUGUGUGUGUGUGUGUGUGUGUUUAACACUCAGAAGAGAGUAGCCUGAUCCAGGAAUAGAGUCCAUAUUUUCUGACUUUAAAUAAUCUGUUGUUCUGGUUUAGUCACUGCAUUUAUCUAUUUAACUUUUUAAAUUUAGGAACAGUAAUAAAUCUUCGAAUCAUAAUUAGUUUAAUAACAAGGGCUGUGGGCUUCACUGUCUCCAAAAGAUGAUAUAUUCAGUUAGAUAUUCCGGAAAUGCAUGUGGUGUUUAAUUAACUCAUUUAUUCCUUCCUUAAUUUCUUUCAUCAACUGUAUAGGUGUCCACAACUUCAUCUUGAACAAUACUGAGGUGGAUGGGAACCCAGAUACUCUUCCUGGUUUCACAUCUUGAUACCAACAAUUACCACUGAGUAAAUUAAGCAAGUGAUUGCCUUCUGAAGUUUUGUUUUGUUUUGUUUUUAAUGGAACUGCACCUACAAAUGAGACUGAGAUACAGUUUAUUUUUUUAAUGUUUAUUUAUUUUUGAGAGGGAAACAGUGUAAGCGGGUGAGGAGCAGAAGGACAGAGACAGAGAAUCUAAUGCAGGCUCCUCACUGUUAGCAGAGAGCCCGACGCAGGGCAUGAACUCACGAACCAUGACAUUAUGACCUCAGCUGAAGUCAGAUACUUAACCGACUGAGCCACCUAUGUACCCUUGUUAUAUAAGCUUUUUUAUAUGUAGAACGGGUGCAGCAGACCCUAUCACACUGAAUAUUUAGGAAGAUUAAAUGACAUAUAGAUAUAUUAUUCAUACUGAGGACCUGCUACAUGCCAGGCACAGGGUUAAGUACUGGAAAUAGUGUCAGUGAGGAAAAUAAACAAGGCCAUGCUUUUAUGGAAUUUUCUACAUUUGGGAAGAAUUUGACAAUAAAAAAAGAACAAAUAUAGUCACAUCUCAUUGUUCACAACAGUCGUGUUUUCUAAAGUCACCAUGAACUCUGAAUUAGCACACACUAAACCACUGCUCCUAGGGGUGGGUUCCUGUGAGCCUCGGUCACAACAGUUCCUGCCAGCUGAUCAAUACAUAACCUUGUUUCCUGUGUGUUUCUGGUUAAAAACACUUCAUUUAAUAUAUGCUGUUGAUACACUGACAUUGAAUUCACCGCCAACAGCACUAUAACUCAUUCCUGAACAAAACUCAUAUAACACACACAUUUUCUCUGUAAGGCGCAUCAUAGCUCUCUUGCACUUAGGAACACUAGACAGUACUUAAGCAGUACACUUGGGGCCAUUUUAAACAGAAAAAUCACCAACAAAAGGCACACAAAAAUGCGAAAAACAUGGCACAAAAUAGACUGUAGAAAAGACACUUGUUUGUAGUAUGAUAGCUGAGAACAAGAAGGCAGAGUCCAACCUCAGAUGAGAACAUGCUCCCUCAGUGGCAGAUUUUUCACAGCUGUGCACAUGCCAUGACUGACCCUGAAAACAAUGCAAGUAUUAGGUUUGACGUUACAAAUAAAUUCUAGUGGUAGGGCAAAUUUGUGAAUACAGAUUGUGAAUACAGACUUUGUGUGCGUGCUUGCAUGCGUGUGUGUGUAUGUGUGUGUGUGUUUAAGACAUACCAGGUGGUAAAAAGUAUUAUGGAGAAAAAUAAAUCAAGGUAUAGGUUCAGAGAAUUCUGCUGCUGAUGGAGCUACACUGAAUAACGCUGCUAUGAACAUUCGCUCACGUGUAUUGCUGUGUACAAUACAUAUGUUAUGCUUCUUGGGUACAUACCUAGGAGGUGGAUCGCUGAAUCAUAUGCUGGCAUGGUAUCAGAAGAGACCAGGGGAGAGUUAGGACUUCCACCACCACAUUGUGGUAGUGAUUAGCUCGAUUAAUAAUCAACAACACUUGGAAGCAACAAAGAUGUCCUUUGGUAGGUGAAUGGAUAAAUAAAAUGUGGUAUAUCUAGACAGUGAAAUACUAUUUAGUGCUAAGAAUACAUAAGCUAUUAAACCAUGAAAAGACAUGGAGGAAUCUUAAAUGAAUAUUAAUAAGUGAAAUAAGCUAAUCUUAAAAAGCUACAUGCUGUAUGAUUCCAACAUUCUGGAAAAGAUUCUGGAAAAGGCAAAACUAUGGAGACAAUAAAAAGAUUAGUGGUCGCUGCAAGGAAUUGUGCAAAGUGAUAAAUAAUCAGAACAGAGAGAAUUUUUAGGACAGGAAAAAAAAUCUGUAUAUACUAUAACAAUGGGUGUGUUGUUUACAUUUGUUCAAACUCAUUGAAUGUACAACUAUGGACUUUGGAUGAUCACUGUUUGUCAAUGUUAUGUGUAAAUUCACCAAUUGUAACAAAUGUUUUUGUAUUUUGUGUGUGUGUGUGUAUAAAAAAGGAUUACAUUUCAUACCGAAAGAAGAGCAUCAUUGGACUCAUGCCCAUGGUCUCAACUUUCCUGAUGGAACAAUAUAAUGGCCUACUAAAGAUUUAGUUGUACACAGAGAAAACAGAGAAGUGUUGGAGUCCUAUCUUGCAAGAACUCAUAUAUAUUUUGAAACUACAGUCAGUGUUGCUCUUUCCUUAUAGACAAAGACCAAGAGGUAGAAGUUGAGUGACUCCUUUUGAAUUUUUUUAUCUUUAUUGAAGAAUAAUUUCUGUGCAAUAAACUGUGCCCUUUUGUGCCAAAAGGAAAAAUAAAAGAAAAUAAAUAGAAACAGAAAUCAAUAAAGUUGAAGACAGAAAAAAAAAUGAAAAAACAAUGAAAGGGUCCUUUGAAAAGAACUCUACACAAAAAAUUCUUUGACUUGACACAAAAACAUGAUCUAUAAAAGGAAAAAAAUAACAAAUUAGACCUUAUAAUAAUUAAACCUUUGCCUGUAAAGUGCCUUAUUAAGGGUAUGAUAGAACAAGCUACAGAAUAGGAGAGAAAAUAUUCAUACCAUAUAUCUGACAAAGGACUAGUAUCUAGAAUAUAUAAAGAACUCUUAAAACUAACAGUAAAAGAGCAAACAAUCCAAUUAGAUCAUGAGCAAAACAUUAGGAGGCAUUUCACCACAAAAGACACACAGAUUACAAAUAAGCAAAUGAAAUAUGUUCAAUAUGAUCAGCUAUUAGUAAAAUGCAAAUUAAAAUCCCAAUGAAAUGUUUCUUCAUACUUUUAAGAAUGCUUAAAUUACAAUUAGGGACAACACAAAAUGGUGGUGAGGAUAUGGAGACGCUGAAUCUCUCACACAACGGAUAGUAAUGUAAAAUGAUACAACCAUGCCAGAGAACAGUUUGGCAUUUCUUAAAAAUCUAUAUGAAACUACCAUACAACCCACCUAUUGUACUUUUAGGGUUUUAUCCAGAAAAAUAAAGAUGUAUGUUACAUAAAACCUGUACACAUUCAUUUCAUGUCCUUAUUCAAAUAUACCACUGGAGGGAGCUGGAAAAAUAGUACACUAGAUGUCUGUUAUUAUUUGUUACAACUGCGUGUGAAUCUACAAUUAUCUCAAAAUAAGUUUAAUUUUAAAAAUAUAGUAUAUUGUUUUUUUCCACUAAUAGGAUAUGAAAUUUAAUACCUAAUAUUCAUUAAAAUUCUGAAAUGCUAUAAAAGUAAUAAAAGAUGCACUUUGAUCUUAUAAGACUGGCUUAUACAUAUUUAGUAGUUGGGGAAUAUUUUUUUAUGUAACAACUUAGUAAUACCUAAAAACUGGAAUCAACUCAGAUGUUCUUCAACACGUAAAGUGUUAAAUUGUACAUCCAUAAUGUGGAAUACUAUUCAGAAAUAAAAGGAAAUGGACUAUUGAUGCACACAACAACUGCUACGUCCAGAGAAUUAUGCUGAAUGGAAAAGGUCAAUUCCAAAAGAUUAUUUAUUGUGUGAUUACAUUUUUAUGAAAUUCUUGAAAUGACAAAUUAUAGAAAUGAUGAACAGAUUGAUCAUUGAGUUUAUAGAGAGGCUGGAAGUGUAAGAGAAGUGACCGGGACUUUAAAAGUGAAACAAGAAGGACUCUUGGGGUGAUGGACAUGUUUCGUACCUUGACUCUAUGGGUAUGAAUACACUGCUUGUAAUAUUGCAUUGUAGUUUUGCAAGAUGAUACCAUUGGAAAAAACCGCAUAAGCAUACCUGGAGCUUCUCUGUAUUGUUUCUUAAAACUGCAUAUGAAUCUACAAUUACCUCAAGAUAAAAAGUUUACUAAAAAGAAAAAAAAAAAAGAAGAAAAAGCGUAGUCACCUUUGGAGGACAAAAAGGAACUGAUUUUUUUUAAAUAAUGAAUAAUGGGGGAAAAACUAUCUUUAUCUUACCUUUACUAUAUGAACUAUAACAC